UCCAGGCUUAGUCUUGAAGGCAAUAUCAAAAUCCUGGAAAUUCUGCAUGCCUUUUCAUUCGAUUUAGGGUAGAACACAGACCCAGCCAUUGAUCCUCCAUAGUCAGGUACACCAAAAUUCCCAAUUGCACAUUCAUAAACAUCUUUCAUUGAGUCCGGUGACGUCACCUUGAAAAUAUUCUUCUCGUUUGAGCAUCAACGACGCUCACAGGGCAAAGGCGAAAUCAUUGAGAAGUUGCUCGAAACCUUCAAAGGAAAGAGAAACGAGCUCGAAUACAAAGGCGAAAAAAUGAAGGAAUAAAAAAAUUGAGCAAAAAUUGAAGAUAUGUGUAAUUAAUCUGCUGCAAUACCUAUCGAUUUACUACCUGGGAACUUGAGGUGCAAUAAUGUUUAUUCGGAAGGGACAGCACAAGGGAGGCGGUGGGGGGCCAGAAGCUGGAUGUGGCAGUCAAAAUUUGUAGGCGCCGACCACCAGGUGGAGCUCAGCAUCGAUCGAAGAGGCGGUGGCCGCCGGCCGAGGCGGCGGUGGCGGGCGGCAGCAGCGGGCGACCAAGGAGGAGCAAUUUAGAGAUUUGGUGGAAACGACGUCGUUCUGCAAUGAGCAGAAUAAAAGAAAAGAAAAAAAUGAAGCACACGCGUCGCGGUCGAGCUACUUCAAAAAUAAAGGGAAAAGAAAAGAUUUGAAAACGCUGAUUGGUUAGAGUGAAGGGAACGGCACCGUUUCAGCCUUAAAUGGGCCAAAAGUAAAUGAAAAAGAAAAGGUUUAAGGGUGAGAGUUCAGACAACAGAAAUUGCGGCGCUCUCAGAGGGUGUGUACAAAGCUCGCUUCUAACCCAAUUCAAAUAAUACUGAACCUGAAUUUAGUAGAACACCUCCUACAUCUCCAAUAAGAGCGUAGAUUAUUUUCGAAGUUCUCCUUGGAAAAAACAACAAAACAAGCGCUCUAAAUGUUGCCAACAUACAUAAAAAAUAAAAGAAAAAACAAAAAAAAAACCAUCAAUAGUUCAAAACUGAGAUACAAUGUAAAGUAACACAUACAAAUUACCAAAAAUACAUGCUAAAAAGGUGGUUUAUUUUUUAUGAUACAUAGUAAACGUUUUUAAAGUUAAAUCUGAAGAAAAAAAAAAAGGACAGAUAAAAAUAAGAGUAGGUUGUGAUAAUGGAACUGUCAGAAAAUGUCACCUACGCUAAUUCUCUUUAGCGUGUCUUAAGAUCGCCUAAGGAUUAUUAAUUAAUGAAACUAAUAAAAUGAGAACUGAUAUUAGUUCACCUGAGAAUCUAAAUUCUAACUUCAUUCCUGCUUCCCGGACAAGCACAUCCUCAGGUUUCUUCUCCCCAUCAGCCGCCGAUUCUUUUGCACUACACACAUAAAACAUCGGAAUUUAGCAAAAGCUUACUGAAAUAGAUUUAAUUGAACUUGAUAUGAUAAAUUUACCGAGUAAUUUAAAGACAACAAACAAAAGCAUUAUUCAAGUGAACAAGAGUUAACCAUUCCACUGAUGGAAAAAAAACUAAUAUGAUAAAGAAAGUGCAUAAUUAGAAACAACAGAUGGGGCACUAACGGCAUACCAAGCAGACAAAUAAAUAUGACAUGAACGCUCAAAUAAGAGGCUCAACCCUGUCAUCUGCCACAAGAAUAGCUGCUGCUCCAGCAUUCUGAGCAUUCCACGCCUUUAAUGUUAAAAAGCAUUCUGCCAGUACACGAGGAAGAUAAGUUGCCAGACGGUGACGAAGGAAUAGAUAUGCGAGCAUAUUUUAAGCGACAUAUGGACAUAACUAUGAUCAUAACUAAUCAAGAAUUAAGACAAGUGUGCCUGCACAUGGUCAUGCAGUUCCCAAACGAAAUCAUACUCUUGCAACAUAUAUAAGUCGCUAAUAAACACUCAAAGAUGUUAAAAUCCAUAAUACAUCAAUCACAAAGAAGGAUAAGAGCAAAAACAUUACAUAUUAUUCUGAAUUUGUAUUCAAUCCAAACAAUUCAUUCAGAAUCUUAUGGAGAAUUGUUUAGAAAAAAUUGGUUUAGCCAUGUAUAAUUCAACUCCAAAGUUAUCGCACUCGUGCCGAUUUGAAGUAUUAAUAAAUAGCAUAAUGAGUAGAGUAAGUCAACACCAAAUCCCGAAUCAAUUUAGUAUUUCAGUUAACACACAUGCACUAAGCAAUCAAAAUGAAUUAGCAGAACCAGACAACCAAACUUAACACAACGGAACAUGGUAUAGCAACCACCCAUUAGAAACUAAGCAAAUAAGGAAAAUUUACCUCUCUGUCAGCAAGAAGGAAGAUNNNNNNNNNNNNNNNNNNNNNNNNNNNNNNNNNNNNNNNNNNNNNNNNNNNNNNNNNNNNNNNNNNNNNNNNNNNNNNNNNNNNNNNNNNNNNNNNNNNNUUAGUCUUGAAGGCAAUAUCAAAAUCCUGGAAAUUCUUGCAUGCCUUUUCAUUCGAUUUAGGGUAGAACACAGACCCAGCCAUUGAUCCUCCAUAGUCAGGUACACCAAAAUUCCCAAUUGCACAUUCAUAAACAUCUUUCAUUGAGUCCGGUGACGUCACCUUGAAAAUAUUCUUCUCGUUUGAGCAUCAACGACGC
rnacentral:lncRNA from 1 species